rnacentral:rRNA from 5 species
UUAUACUGCGAAACUGCGAAUGGCUCAUUAAAUCAGUUAUCGUCUAUUUGAUAGUACCUUACUACUUGGAUAACCGUGGUAAUUCUAGAGCUAAUACAUGCUGAAAACCCCGACUUCGGAAGGGAUGUAUUUAUUAGAUUAAAAACCAAUGCCCUCCGGGGCUCACUGGUGAUUCAUAAUAACUGCUCGAAUCGCACGGCCUUGCGCCGGCGAUGGUUCAUUCAAAUCUCUGCCCUAUCAACUUUCGACGGCUGGGUCUUGGCCAGCCAUGGUGACAACGGGUAACGGAGGGUUAGGGCUCGACCCCGGAGAAGGAGCCUGAGAAACGGCUACUACAUCCAAGGAAGGCAGCAGGCGCGCAAAUUACCCAAUCCCGACUCGGGGAGGUAGUGACAAUAAAUACUGAUACAGGGCUCUUUUGGGUCUUGUAAUUGGAAUGAGUACAAUUUAAUUCCCUUAACGAGGAACAAUUGGAGGGCAAGUCUGGUGCCAGCAGCCGCGGUAAUUCCAGCUCCAAUAGCGUAUAUUAAAGUUGUUGCAGUUAAAAAGCUCGUAGUUGAACCUUGGGCCUGGCUGGCCGGUCCGCCUCACCGCGUGCACUGGUCCGGCCGGGCCUUUCCCUCUGGGGAGCCGCAUGCCCUUCGCUGGGCGUGUCGGGGAACCAGGACUUUUACUUUGAAAAAAUUAGAGUGUUCAAAGCAGGCUUAUGCUCGGAUACAUUAGCAUGGAAUAAUAGAAUAGGACGUGCGGUUCUAUUUUGUUGGUUUCUAGGACCGCCGUAAUGAUUAAUAGGGACAGUCGGGGGCAUCAGUAUUCAGUUGUCAGAGGUGAAAUUCUUGGAUCUACUGAAGACUAACUACUGCGAAAGCAUUUGCCAAGGAUGUUUUCAUUAAUCAGGAACGAAAGUUAGGGGAUCGAAGACGAUCAGAUACCGUCGUAGUCUUAACCAUAAACUAUGCCGACUAGGGAUCGGACGGUGUUAUUUUUUGACCCGUUCGGCACCUUACACGAAAGUACAAGUUUC